CUUAAAUCAAAUUAAGCCACUUCCCAUUUUGUUGUAACCCCAAUUUAUUGAUUGUAUCUCCAUAUUUAGCUUAUUGUGCAACUGUUUCGUCAAUCAACUCUUGCAUCUUCUACUCUAGUUCUUGUGAUUGGAGCUUCUUGUGCAAUUGCAUCUUGAAUCAUCUCACGAACAUUCCUAUGAUCUUGUUGUUCUUGCUGAUUUCCAUCAUCCC
rnacentral:misc_RNA from 1 species